rnacentral:rRNA from 1 species
AACGAACGCUGGCGGCAUGCCUAACACAUGCAAGUCGAACGAUUGCCUUCGGGUGAUAGUGGCGCACGGGUGCGUAACGCGUGGGAAUCUGCCCUUAGGUUCGGAAUAACAGCUGGAAACGGCUGCUAAUACCGGAUGAUAUCGCGAGAUCAAAGAUUUAUCGCCUGAGGAUGAGCCCGCGUUGGAUUAGGUAGUUGGUGGGGUAAAGGCCUACCAAGCCGACGAUCCAUAGCUGGUCUGAGAGGAUGAUCAGCCACACUGGGACUGAGACACGGCCCAGACUCCUACGGGAGGCAGCAGUGGGGAAUAUUGGACAAUGGGCGCAAGCCUGAUCCAGCAAUGCCGCGUGAGUGAUGAAGGCCCUAGGGCUGUAAAGCUCUUUUACCCGGGAAGAUAAUGACUGUACCGGGAGAAUAAGCCCCGGCUAACUCCGUG